rnacentral:rRNA from 1 species
GUCUAGGGCCACACCACCCUGAAUGCAUCCAAUCUCAUCUGAUCUCGGAAGCUAAACAGGGUCGGGCCUGGUUAGUACUUGGAUGGAAGACCACUUGGGAAUAGGUGCUGUAGGCU